UGCGUAACACGUAUACAUCUGCCUGUAACAGGGGGAUAGCCCCGGAGAAAUCCGGAUUAACCCCCAUAAUAGUUGAGUCGGCAUCGAUUUAACUUGAAAACUACGGUGGUUACAGAUGAGUAUGCGCAUGAUUUAGCUAGUUGGGUGAGGUAACGGGUCANCAAGGGCGACGAUCAUUAGGGGUACUGAGAGGUUAAACCCCCACACGGAUACUGAGACACGGAUCCGACUCCUACGGGAGGCAGCAGUAAGGAAUAUUGGACAAUGGCCGCAAGGCUGAUCCAGCCAUGCCGCGUGCAGGAAGAAGGCGCUAUGCGUUGUAAACUGCUUUUGAACCAGAGAAAACCCCCCUACGUGUAGGGGGCUGAUAGUAUGGUUAGAAUANGCAUCGGCUAACUUCGUGCCAGCAGCCGCGGUAAGACGAAGGACUGCAAGCGUUAUCCGGAUUCAUUGGGUUUACACGGGAGCGUAGGCGGACUUAUAACGUCAGUGGUGAAAUCUCUGGGCUUAACCCAGAAACUGCCAUUGAUACUGUAGGUCUAGAGUACAUUUGGCUGUGGCCCGGACUCUGACCNUGUACGNUGGGGUCGCAACACUACU
rnacentral:rRNA from 1 species